CAGGGCUUGACAUGCAGUCGCACCACCCGUUAUGGGGUGUACCCGCAAGGGACGGCUGCACAGGUGCUGCAUGGCUGUCGUCAGCUCGUGUCGUGAGAUGUUGGGUUAAGUCCCGCAACGAGCGCAACCCCCAUCGUCGGUUAUAGGUGUCCGGCGAGACUGCCUCGAUCAACGGGGAGGAAGGUGGGGAUGACGUCAAGUCAGCACGGCCCUUACGUCCUGGGCGACACACACGCUACAAUGGCCGGAAACAACGAGUUGCCAACCCGCGAGGGGGAGCUAAUCUCAGCAAACCUCGUCUCAGUUCAGAUUGUAGGCUGCAACCCGCCUGCAUGAAGUUGGAGUUGCUAGUAACCGUGAGUCAGCACAUCACGGUGAAUACGUUCCC
rnacentral:rRNA from 1 species